UCCUAUGAGAUGGCUGUUGAUUACCUUCACAGUAUUUUGCCAUUGUUGCCUCUAUUGAGUGUCUUGCCAUUCUGGUCGUUGGUAUGGUUCAAAGGCUUUCCCUCUGGAUUGGACAAUGGAUUGCUUUCUCCCUUGUCAGUCUUCAUGGCACCAUCAGAUACUAUGAGUGCUAAUCUUCAGGGAGAAAGCUUCCAGUUACUAUAAAGUAUGACUCUACUCAGGAAGAUACCACAUGAAGCAUGAAGAUGUAGAGGAAUAAAUCUUAAGCCAAUUGGAGAAGAAAAGACAUUAAAGGAGUGACACAACAUGGAACCCUACAUGCUGCUGUAAUGACCUGCAAGGCAAGAUGUGCCAAGAUCAGCUAUCACUUCCUGGAAUUAAAGACCUAUGUGCUUCCAAAGCAAAGGCAGGAGAUCUCAAGUGCUGGGAUUAAAGGUGUGUGAUUGAAAAGUACUUGGAUUAAAGG